rnacentral:sRNA from 1 species
AGCAGCCGCGGUAAUUCCAGCUCCAAUAGCGUAUAUUAAAGUUGUUGCAGUUAAAAAGCUCGUAGUUGAACCUUAGGCCCGUGCGGGUGGUCCGUCCUCUGGGCGAGCACUGCCUCGUCGCGGGUCUCACCUUCUGGCGAGCGUGGAUGCCAUUCACUUGGUGUCGGCGGGAACCAGGACCUUUACCUUGAAAAAUUAGAGUGCUCAAAGCGGGCUCGUACGCUUGAAUACAUUAGCAUGGAAUAAUGAAAUAGGACGACGGUUCUAUUUUGUUGGUUUCCGGGACAGUCGUAAUGAUUAAUAGGGAUAGUUGGGGGCAUUCGUAUUCAAUUGUCAGAGGUGAAAUUCUUGGAUUUAUUGAAGACGAACUACUGCGAAAGCAUUUGCCAAGGAUGUUUUCAUUAAUCAAGAACGAAAGUUGGGGGAUCGAAGACGAUCAGAUACCGUCGUAGUCUCAACCAUAAACUAUGCCGACUGGGAAUCGGGCGAUGUUAUUUUCGUGAC